rnacentral:tRNA from 1 species
GGUUUUGGCUCAGUGGUAGAGCACUUGCCUAGCAUGCAUGAGAUUCUGGGUUUGAUCCCCAGCACCA